GAUGAACGCUGGCGGCGUGCCUAAUACAUGCAAGUCGAGCGAACAGAUAAGGAGCUUGCUCCUUUGACGUUAGCGGCGGACGGGUGAGUAACACGUGGAUAACCUACCUAUAAGACUGGGAUAACUUCGGGAAACCGGAGCUAAUACCGGAUAACAUAUUGAACCGCAUGGUUCAAUAGUGAAAGGCGGCUUUGCUGUCACUUAUAGAUGGAUCCGCGCCGUAUUAGCUAGUUGGUAAGGUAACGGCUUACCAAGGCAACGAUACGUAGCCGACCUGAGAGGGUGAUCGGCCACACUGGAACUGAGACACGGUCCAGACUCCUACGGGAGGCAGCAGUGGGGAAUCUUCCGCAAUGGGCGAAAGCCUGACGGAGCAACGCCGCGUGAGUGAUGAAGGUCUUCGGAUCGUAAAACUCUGUUAUCAGGGAAGAACAAAUGUGUAAGUAACUGUGCACAUCUUGACGGUACCUGAUCAGAAAGCCACGGCUAACUACGUG
rnacentral:rRNA from 1 species